UGGGGAAUAUUGCACAAUGGGCGAAAGCCUGAUGCAGCAACGCCGCGUGAUGAUGAAGGUCUUCGGAUUGAAANCUCUGUCUUUUGGGACGAUAAUGACGGNACCAAAGGAGGAAGCCACGGCUAACUACGUGCCAGCAGCCGCGGUAAUACGUAGGUGGCGAGCGUUGUCCGGAUUUACUGGGCGUAAAGGGUGCGUAGGCGGAUGUUUAAGUGAGAUGUGAAAUACCCGGGCUUAACUUGGGUGCUGCAUUUCAAACUGGAUAUCUAGAGUGCAGGAGAGGAGAAUGGAAUUCCUAGUGUAGCGGUGAAAUGCGUAGAGAUUAGGAAGAACACCAGUGGCGAAGGCGAUUCUCUGGACUGUAACUGACGCUGAGGCACGAAAGCGUGGGUAGCAAACAGGAUUAGAUACCCUGGUAGUCCACGCCGUAAAACGAUGAGUACUAGGUGUAGGAGGUAUCGACCCCUUCUGUGCCGCAGUAAACACAUUAAGUACUCCGCCUGGGAAGUACGAUCGCAAGAUU
rnacentral:rRNA from 1 species